UACGUAGGGGGCAAGCGUUGUCCGGAAUCAUUGGGCGUAAAGCGCGUGUAGGCGGCCCGGUAAGUCCGCUGUGAAAGUCGGGGGCUCAACCCUCGGAUGCCGGUGGAUACUGUCGGGCUCGAGUACGGAAGAGGCGAGUGGAAUUCCGUGGUGUAGCGGUGAAAUGCGCAGAUAUCAGGAGAACACCCAGUGCGAAGGCAGCUCU
rnacentral:rRNA from 1 species